GAUGAACGCUGGCGGCGUGCUUAACACAUGCAAGUCGAACGAGAAGUGAAGACGGAAACCUUCGGGCGGAAGGCUUUAUUUCGAGUGGCGGACGGGUGAGUAACGCGUGGGUAACCUGCCUCAUACAGGGGGAUAACAGUUGGAAACGACUGUUAAUACCGCAUAAGACCACAGCACCGCAUGGUGCGGGGGUAAAAACUCCGGUGGUAUGAGAUGGACCCGCGUUCGAUUAGCCAGUUGGCGGGGUAACGGCCCACCAAAGCGACGAUCGAUAGCCGAUCUGAGAGGAUGACCGGCCACAUUGGGACUGAGACACGGCCCAAACUCCUACGGGAGGCAGCAGUGGGGAAUAUUGCACAAUGGGGGAAACCCUGAUGCAGCGACGCCGCGUGAGUGAAGAAGUAUUUCGGUGUGUAAAGCUCUAUCAGCAGGGAAGAAAAUGACGGUACCUGAGUAAGAAGCCCCGGCUAACUACGUG
rnacentral:rRNA from 1 species